UUAAACGAAAUGCUCGAAACGAGACUCACAUUGACGUCCGAUGUUCUUCUGUUCGCGGUUGAUCUAGACGAGGACGAAGUCGUCGGAUUCGGAUUCGGAUUCGGAUUCGUGCACUUCGUUACGUGUUUCGUUGAUUGUUGCAAUGAUGAAGACGGAGAAUGAAGCUUUUCAACUCUCAUUGCAAUUUUUAUGAGAGGUCGCGGGUGAAGAUUCGACUUUGCAAAGUUCUUGCACAGUUGGAAGUUUUGUUCUGUUAUGAUGAGGUUUCUCGGAUGCGACUCAGAAUUAGCUUUCCUCUUCCCGAGCAAUACGCUUUCCGUUCUCCUCUUCAGUUAAAGGGUGCACCACUGUGAAGAUUGAAGAAGAUGCUGAAGAACGAUUUCGCAAUUCUGUUAUUUUCUUUCUGAGUUCUUUGUGCGGUUCUUUGAUUUUCUCUGUUCUUGGUUAUGGAGGUUGAAGAGACUAGUUGGAAGUGGAAGAAAUGGUUUGCAAAAUCGAAUUCUGGAUCUUUGGUGAAAGAAAAAACUCCCUCUCCAAUGAAUCAGGUGAGUUACUUAUAGAACUUUUCCCCACCAAUUCUGUUAGAAACUCAUCAUAAAUUUCAAUGGAAAGCAACUCAAAUUCCAUUGAAAUUCAAAAUGAGUUGGUUACUAACUAUGAGUUAGUUAGAGUAAUGAAAUGCUAGCUGUCAAAAUUGGUUACAAAUUCAUAUCCAAAUUGAAAUGUACUCGAAAUUGGAUUUCUGUUUCAUUUGCUGCAGACUCGGUUAUUAAAAACUGUUAGUUGUGUUUUCAGUUAUGAAUUCGUUUUAAUUUGAGGUGAAUUUGGAGUGUUUAGUGGGAACGUUAGGAAGUUCAAGCUGGUUGUUAUUUUCUGAUGUAUGAAAACCGUUUCAAAUAGUUUUGGAUGCACUGCUAGUUAUUACACUCAAUUCCCUAUUAUAUUGAAAUGUUAGAUGUUGUUCAAACGUAUGCUAUCUUGAACUGCUUUAGUUUAUGCAAGCUAUAGUGAAUUGGGUUUUCAUGGUUGCUGUUAUGCGUGUUACUUAGCUAAGUCUGCUGAGUUUUCUGUUUGUCUUUAAGAGAAGAGGAAGAUUCAACAUUGUUCCUAAAAGAUGCAUCUGGGCUAGCUGGCUUAUUCAGGACAAAAACCUUUGGAAUGGCUUGUUGGCUGGACUCCACAUGCUUGAACGGUUCAUGGAAAGUGUCAAACAAGCACUUGACCUUGCUCCCUCCUAUGCCAAGGCAAUGAACUACAUCUCCCAUAUACGCACCCCUUAUGUUAGAUAGAGACCCAAAGUUGGUACCAAGAGUAACUACAUCAGUCUUGUUGACAGUUCCCUCCUUUGGAGCAUAUCUACGACUAUGUUGACAGUUCCCUCCUUUGGAGCACAAGAAUCUCAGUGAGGGACUUGUUAGAAAUUUCGGUAAAAUUAAAUGGAUCCAGGACUGAAUCGUGAUUGAGAAUCACUUUCCUUAAAAGUAUUUCAAGCACUCUUUUAUUAUGUCUUAGAGUUGAAAAAUGCAAGAACACUCAGGAUAAUAUCAGCCUUAAUUUCGAGUCUGCACAAGACAAGUGAAGAACCCGAAAUGCAAGGAACGUUUUUCUGGAAUUUUGGAAGAGAAAUACGUUUUUAGUUCUUUUGUUA